UGACUCUCGGCAAUGGAUAUCUUGGCUCUUGCAUCGAUGAAGAGCGCAGCGAAAUGCGAUACGUGGUGUGAAUUGCAGAAUCCCGUGAACCAUCGAGUUUUUGAACGCAAGUUGCGCCCGAGGCCAAUUGGUUGAGGGCACGUCCGCCUGGGCGUCAUGC
rnacentral:rRNA from 2 species